AAUAUAUAUGUUUUUAUCAGUGCAAGUGAUGGAGAGAUGAUUUCUUUGCAUAUCCUAAGGCCACCGCACGGAAAAAGAUUGCAAACAGAAAAGGUUAGCUUAAAUACUUCGUUUUAACUUCUUAAGAAGCAUACUCAGCAAAGCUGAAAUUUCAUCAAGAAAAAAUCCAACAGGAAAGAAAAAAAUGCGAAAGAAAAUAACUGCGAUUUGUUAAUGCUGUUAAGCGACUCAAAGAAAAAGAAGAAAAAAAGGUAUUGGCUAAGAAAAAAAAAUUAGAAAAUCGUGCCAACAAGUCUAUAGCAACAACAAAAAAGAAGUUCAUUUCAUUAUUAUCUGAAUAACAACCAUUGGUUGACCCGAGAACAAUACUGACUAAUAUAUUCGAACUCGCAACCCUUAUACAAUGAGUACCAUGCUCUAAUCACUACGCCACGGCUACUCAAUAUAAAAAUUAAACUCAUGACUGGGG